AUUGAACGCUGGCGGCAUGCCUUACACAUGCAAGUCGAACGGUAACGCGGGGCAACCUGGCGACGAGUGGCGAACGGGUGAGUAAUGCAUCGGAACGUGCCCAAUAGUGGGGGAUAACUGCUCGAAAGAGCAGCUAAUACCGCAUACGACCUGAGGGUGAAAGCGGGGGAUCGCAAGACCUCGCGCUAUUGGAUCGGCCGAUGUCAGAUUAGGUAGUUGGUGGGGUAAAGGCCCACCAAGCCAACGAUCUGUAGCUGGUCUGAGAGGACGACCAGCCACACUGGGACUGAGACACGGCCCAGACUCCUACGGGAGGCAGCAGUGGGGAAUUUUGGACAAUGGACGCAAGUCUGAUCCAGCCAUGCCGCGUGCGGGAAGAAGGCCUUCGGGUUGUAAACCGCUUUUGUCAGGGAAGAAACGCUCUGGGUUAAUACCUCGGGGUAAUGACGGUACCUGAAGAAUAAGCACCGGCUAACUACGUGCCAGCCGCCGCCGUAAAAC
rnacentral:rRNA from 1 species